ensembl:lncRNA
CCUGAUAUGAAAGCUGACAUUAGAACUGGUAACAAAGGAGCAGGAGCUGGUGUAAUACACAGGGGUAUCGCCCCUGGAACUCAAGAGUCCAACAGAUGCAAUUACAAAGCAGAAGGUGCAGGAGUCUGCCUACUCUGUGGAAAUGAGGUGACGCCUUCAUCACAGCCAGGAGCCAGGCUGAAAAUUAUUGUCUCUGAGACAGCACAAAACUCAGACUGCAGAAAGUUCUUUUUUUGGACAACUUCAAAGCUGAACUUUGUAUUUGAGAGAUGGAAGCAUGCAACUAAAUGCAUCUGCAUAUACGCUGCCUCACUUUAUCUGGGGAGUAACAAACCGGGUGACAGAAACAAUGCACUGGCUUAAAAAUGAUGAACUUCUUUUUUUCUUUUUCUUAUUAAAACAGGUGAAGAACAACUAGAGUCUGCUGGUAUGGAUUCUGUGUAUAAGUUGUUCCAACCAUGUUGAUAACUCUACGAAUUCAUAACAACGAUCUUUGCCCUGUCUCCAGUUACUAAACAUAAGAUUUCAACUGGAAGCCAGGGAAUGUUACUUCCUUUAAUUUCUGCAGCAUUAAAAAUCUGCCCUUAUGCACUGCAGCCAAGAAUAGGAAGGCAGAGUUUCAGCACAGAAUCAUAAACAAACACCCACGGAAGGUUUCGGCAUACCAAAUCAUCUAAUCACAAGCAGAAACCUGACUAAAUAACAUUUUGCAAUGAUUAUUGCGCUUCUGAUCCAUGAUCCUGAAAGUACUUACACAAGAAAUAAUUCACUCGAAGUGAGGCUUGGAGGCAGUGGUGAGGGCUGGCAUCAAAGGUGAAAAAGUAGCACUUAUAAGAUGAAAUAAAGC